UUCCAUUGGCUUCAUUACAUACAUCUAGGGAGAGACAAGUCAUAUACAUACGCAUUUACAUAUAGAGAGAGAAAGAGGAGAGCUAUGCCGCCAGGUUGGGGACCGCCACCGGGAGGGCCUCCCGGUGGACCGGGGUGUUGCGGUUGCAUCGACUUUUGCUGCGGAGGCAUAUGCCGCCUUGUGUCUUCAUGUUUCUAUUUCUUGUGCUGCUGCUGUAUUCUUGAAAGUUGCUGUGGACCAGUGUUUGGUGGACCUGGUGGGCCUCCAGGUCCUCCUGGGCCACCCGGGCCGCCUCGCUUUUGAUAAGCCCAUUGUGGCUAAAAGCUUCAUUUAGCAACAGAAAAAAAUAAAAUCCUUCUUUAUAUGAACACCAUCCAAUGAAAUCAUGUAAUCAAUGUGCAUCUGUUGACGUCUGAUGUCUCUGGAACCAUGUAUGUAUGAGUUAUUUGUAGAGGAAUUGGGGUUCUUAAA